rnacentral:lncRNA from 1 species
CCAGCAAUGAGCAUUGCAUGCAGUUCAGCUGACUGUGAAUGAAUGGAUCGCAGUGCAUCCUGGAGGGAAGCCAAGGCGGAAUGGAAGGCAGAAAAUGAAGCAGCCGCCACCAGAGGAAGGCAGCUCACUGACUGCCUUGCUUUUCCUGGCUUUCUCAGCUUCCUUUCUUAUACAGCCCAGGCCAUCUACCCAAAGACAGGACAACCCACAGUGGUCUGGGCUCUCCCACAUCAAUCAGCAAUAAAAAUAAAAAGUCCCACAGACAUGCUCCCAGGCCUGUCUGGGGGAGUUUUUUCCCCAAAUGGGAUCCCCUCUUCUUAGAUAUGUCGUUUUAUGUCAAAAAGACAAAAACCCCAGGCAGCGCUUUUGACCCCUUCUUAGCUUGACACAAAAACACGUCACUGUUAAACCAUAACCUCUCCUUUCUUGUUUAUCCCCAAGACCUUGCGCUACCAUCACAACAUAAAACAUGACUUUAAGAUCUUUAACAAAUUCCAAAGUUAAAAGUCUCUUACCUUUGAGUUCCUGUAGAAUCAUAAAACAAGUUAUUUUCCUGUUCCAAGAAGGAAGAACCAGGGCAGUUACAAUCACAUCAAAGUAAAACCAAAUCUAAUAGUGAUGUAGUAGUGUGUAGCAUAUAGAACUCAGUCACUCACGAUCCUUUAGGCUCCACGGGGCUUGGACAAUCCCACUUCUCUGCCACCUCUGCCAUACACAGCUUGUAUGGUAGGCUCAGACUGGCUUCCC